UAGACAUUAACAGACACUUGUGGUGGAAUUUGGAAUAAAUUGGCCUGCUUUAGAAGAGUUUGCAGAAGGGCAGCUGUGCUGUAAAGCAAAAUUCAUCCCCCAGGUCAACAGUUCCCUUGGAAGCAUCCUGCCUCCCAUGAUCCUCGAUCCCGGCAGUCCUGGUCAAGCCUGGGCCCAGGAGGCAAGGACUACAGCACCCUUGGCAACUGUUCUUCCCCACAAUCAGAUGGGACUCAGCAUGAACCGCUAUGGUAUCUUCUCUUACUCAGGGGUGCUCACUCCUGUGCUCCUCCAUUUUUCCCCAGUCUCCCUGGAUGUCAGCCUCCCUGCCUUCCAAUGAUGGCAGCUAAGAUUUAUUGGCCACUUGCUAUGUGUCAAGUUCUACUGUAUGUGCUUUACAUGUUCGAACUCAUGCAAUCCUCACCACCCUGUGACACUGAAAUUAUAUAUCAGAAUGGAAUAUCCAGCUGAAUAUCAAUCCUGGAUACAGGUAUUUGCUGCUGUGUUUGUGAAGAUGAGCAAUUCCAAGGGCAAGAGAACAAUCUGUCUCAGAGUGCUUCAUUUAAGCAAGGACACGCUGCCAACUUGAAAGGAAAUGAAGGCCACACUUUGUCUAUGGGGGGAUCCUGCAGUUAUUCCCCUGCAAAUUUAAUUCAAACAGGUAUUGAGAUCUGAAACAUGGAGAUAUCCACAAAUUAGAGGAUACUUGGUUUUUAAAAAGGAAAGAAAAGAAAUCCAGGCCACAGAGAACUAUCUCAAAGCAGCAAUAGUAGUUCCUUUUCAUGUUCAUCACUGCAUUCCUAUGAACAUGUUUUGAAAGUCUGUACUGUGAAUAAAAUUUCUUGAGAUCUUCAUAUGAAAAAUGCAUAUUAUAAAUUUUAAAACUUAAAGUUAUUGUCAAGUCAAUUUUAUUUAAAAAAUAGCAUAUGUGUGUAAAAUGUGCAAAAUUAGUGCUAUUCCAAUACUUGACUUUUAAAAUUAUUAGUUAUACAAAUACGCCAUUCAACUAGUUUAUUGAUGAUUCCUUUAUAAAAUGCAGUGUUAUUUGAAUUAUCACUCAAAAAUAGACCUCUUUAG